GGAAAAACUCUAUAUUUACAAUUAUUAGUAUAUGUCUACUUUUUCUUUCUUACUUCUUAUGAAUGCUUUUUCUUGUUCCUUUUCUUUUUCUCUCCUUCCAUCUAUUAUGCAUCAGCAGCAGACUGCUCUGAUAUAUUAUUAGUACCAUGUACAAACAAAAGAUCUCUAUUGUUACUUUCUUUCUUCCUUUCCUUUUGUUGAUGUUUCUAUUUCCUUUUGAUCUCUGCUAUUUACAAUGAAAGAACACGCACCGAUUCAAUUGAUUCAUUCAAUUGGUUCUUGACUCUUUUGUUUCAAAGCCGCGAUCCUCGGUAUCUCUAGUUCAUUCAUCGAUCAUAUUCAUCAUCGAGUGGAGAUGGAAUCCACAACCGAAUCUUCAUC
rnacentral:ribozyme from 14 species